GUAAAUUUAGAAGUGAAUGGAUGCAUCUUCGUACCAUAGAAAACGUGAAACCACUGCCAGUUCUGGUACUUGACUGAAGGAUAAUUAUGGUUUGCUGUGUGCUGGAGAUAAUGGUGAUUCUGAUAUGUUAACACUUUUCUGUGUGGAACAGUCUCAAGCAAAUGAAUGGAACUCAUCAGCCUGGCUUGCUCUGGAAGGCUUCCCGUCACAGAAUGGUUGGAUUUGAAAGAGAGCUUAAAGAUCAUCUAGUUCCAAACCCUCUG
rnacentral:lncRNA from 1 species